CCCCCCCCCUUUAUUACCCUUUGUGUCAUCCUCCACAGCUCCAGGGAAGGCACUCAAAAGUGGGGGGCAGGAAAGAUGCUCAUUAAGGAUAUCCAUUUCUGCAUGUGGGAAGUAGAUGUUGAAGGUUAUAUGGUUUACAGACAAGAUCUUUAAAAGAUAGACACUCAAGGACCAAGGAAAUAAAUACCACAGCCAAGAGCACAGAAUAUUUCCUUCAUCAACCCAUAGAAUCCUGAGACUUCUCUAAUUCCAUCAAAUAGAAAGGAAUGACCACAUUGGCAGAUGGCCACAGAGGAUGUCAACAAUUUU